AAUUCCUUACAUUCUAAUGGAAAUAAUUUCCCAAAAAUAUGGAAUCAUUCGUAACUGGAAAUUCUUGAGAUAUCAUAAUUGGCAAUUCAUAAAGCCAAAAAAAGAAGAUCGCUAACACCAUGAAAGUGACUAGAAAAGGAAACAUAUAGAACAUUUUCAUGAUCAUUCGUCUGAUGGCUCAAAAAUUACCCGUAGAUAUCGCGACCACUACAGUGAGCAAUUGUACAUCCUGACCAGAGUUGACACAAGAAAAGUAUGCUAUUCUAAAAAGAAGACAUGACGUCAUAUUACCUCCCAUUGAUAUUGCUAUAUUAGACAGAGGCACAUCAUGAUGACAUGAUGUAAGACUUGAUAUUGGCGCAAGCUUCACGUGACGCACUUGUAUUUAAUGUAGCAAAUAUUGAACAUAAUAUAAUACAGGCUUUAUAGAACUUUUCAUAAUUUGGUAUCCCUUUCUUGUGAAGUAUGAAAAGAGAAUUGAAAAUAUUAUAUAUUAUUGUAUAUAUUUGCAGUAUAUAUUGGCAGUGAAACAAAAUAUGAUAGAUGAAAGAAUAUGGAAUCCAUUAAUAGUAAUGAAACUGAUAUAUGAAAUGAUGAUAAAAAAAAUUAUCUAAUUCAAACAUUGACAAAAUGAAAAUCUAUAAUGAAAAGAAAUCAAAGAUAAUUUUUGAUAAAUGUAUAAUUGGCAGAAUAAUAAUUUAUAUUGGAUAAGAAGUUAAUAAGAUUGCAAUUUUUCUAACAAUUGAAAAAGUUUAUGCAGCACUUUUAUAAAAUGAA